rnacentral:rRNA from 1 species
GAUGAACGCUAGCGGGAGGCUUAACACAUGCAAGUCGUGGGGCAGCAUAGGGUAGCAAUACUCUGAUGGCGACCGGCGCACGGGUGAGUAACGCGUAUGCAACCUACCCUGUACAGGGGGAUAGCCCGGAGAAAUUCGGAUUAAUACCCCAUAAAGAUAUUGAGAGGCAUCUUUUGAUAUUUAAAGCUUCGGCGGUACGGGAUGGGCAUGCGUAACAUUAGCUAGUUGGUUAGGGUAACGGCCUACCAAGGCUACGAUGUUUAGGGGUCCUGAGAGGGUGAUCCCCCACACUGGUACUGAGACACGGACCAGACUCCUACGGGAGGCUG